rnacentral:rRNA from 1 species
GACGAACGCUGGCGGCGUGCUUAACACAUGCAAGUCGAACGGAAAGGCCCUGCUUUUGUGGGGUGCUCGAGUGGCGAACGGGUGAGUAACACGUGAGUAACCUGCCCUUGACUUUGGGAUAACUUCAGGAAACUGGGGCUAAUACCGGAUAGGAGCUCAUGCUGCAUGGUGGGGGUUGGAAAGUUUCGGCGGUUGGGGAUGGACUCGCGGCUUAUCAGCUUGUUGGUGGGGUAGUGGCUUACCCAGGCUUUGACGGGUAGCCGGCCUGAGAGGGUGACCGGCCACAUUGGGACUGAGAUACGGCCCAGACUCCUACGGGAGGCAGCAGUGGGGAAUAUUGCACAAUGGGCGGAAGCCUGAUGCAGCAACGCCGCGUGCGGGAUGACGGCCUUCGGGUUGUAAACCGCUUUCGCCUGUGACGAAGCGUGAGUGACGGUAAUGGGUAAAGAAGCACCGGCUAACUACGUG